rnacentral:rRNA from 1 species
AGUGAACGCUGGCGGUAGGCCUAACACAUGCAAGUCGAACGGCAGCACAGUAAGAGCUUGCUCUUACGGGUGGCGAGUGGCGGACGGGUGAGGAAUACAUCGGAAUCUACUUUUUCGUGGGGGAUAACGUAGGGAAACUUACGCUAAUACCGCAUACGACCUACGGGUGAAAGCAGGGGAUCUUCGGACCUUGCGCGAUUGAAUGAGCCGAUGUCGGAUUAGCUAGUUGGCGGGGUAAAGGCCCACCAAGGCGACGAUGCGUAGCUGGUCUGAGAGGAUGAUCGGCCACACUGGAACUGAGACACGGUCCAGACUCCUACGGGAGGCAGCAGUGGGGAAUAUUGGACAAUGGGCGCAAGCCUGAUCCAGCCAUACCGCGUGGGUGAAGAAGGCCUUCGGGUUGUAAAGCCCUUUUGUUGGGAAAGAAAAGCAGCAGGUUAAUACCCCGCUGUUCUGACGGUACCCAAAGAAUAAGCACCGGCUAACUUCGUG